UCACCCAAAACAUCAAACUCCAUUGUUGCACUUACACUUUUUCCCCUUUUCCAACAUUCAUAAAAAGGGUUGAUUUAUAGGUUAACUCAUUCUUUUAGGGUUGCUUUAUUCUUUCAAAUCAUAUGUUUUCAGAGUGACCCAUACUAUCACUGGAUUCAUUUUCAAAGCAGAAGCAGAGUCCUGGAGAAGACCUAGGACACGCUGGAGGGACUAUGUCUCCCGGCUGACCUGGAAGUGUGACGGUUGGGUUUAGGAUAAACACACGGAGAGGGCAGGAUCCAAUAGCAAGAAAACAACUUUGUGCAUCUUAAGGAAUAAUAGCACUUUGGGCAUACUGUUGUAUAUCCCAUCAGACUGCACAACAGUGCCUAGUGUGGCUUCAACACCUGUGAACAAUUAUUGACUGUCUUCUGCACACUGAUGCGUACACCUUAAAUCAUCUUCUCAUAUUAGGUUUUUGUUUCACUGCAUAAAAAAUUACAUAUUUGCAUUUGUAUCUGUGAAAUGUCAUAAUAUAGGUUAAAUAAUCCCUAUCACAUCUGCUCAUCCCCGGAAAGGGGAUGAGCAGAGAACGGGGACUCCUCCCGGCUGCCCAAAACUGGGAGAGCCGUCGCCAUCCACUGGGCGGCGGAGGAGUGUCGUGCAUUUUGUUGUUUUCGAUGAUUUUGCUUUUAGUUUUCUCAAGAACUAUACAGUAAAAUGCCUUAUAAAUGAAUACAGCGAUAGUUAUGGUCACUCUGAAUACAUAUGACUUGAAAGAAUGAGCUAACCUAUAAAGGAACACCUUUUUAUGAAUGUUGUAAUAAGGGAAUAAAUGCAAGUGCAACAACU